UACAGAAAAUACACAUGACUGUAUAUUUGGUUCUUCAAUUUGAGAUGUAUUUCGUGUUCUUAAAACUGAAACUUCUUAGAUCGAUUUUUUGAAAACUGAGAAUUUCAUCAUCUUUAAAAAAAGCAAACAAGUUGUUAAAUUUUGAAAAAAAAAAAUCCAGAUCAAAUUCAACAUCAACGUUCACAAAAUUUAUUGAAAAUAAAAAUUUUAAUCAAUUUGAAACCAAUCGUUGUAAUAUUUAUGUAAAAUAAAAAAAAAAAAAAACAAAACAUAAAAACAACAAGAAUAGCGUAAAUCCCCAAUCUUUUAAUGCCCCAUGAUGAGGACAUGUAUCGUUUUUGACAAAGAUUUAAAUAAUUAUGCAACUAUAACAACAACAAAAUCAGUUUUGUUAUGCUUAUCAAAAAUAAGCAGUACUAAAAACGAUGAGCAACUUUAUUAUUAAAAUACUUAUUUUUCAUGCUGAAUUUUAAUAAUUGCAAAAAAGUACAUAAUUAAAAGUAUUUUAUUGAUGAUCAAAUAUUUGUACUUAUACAUUUUAUAAAAGAAAAACGAUUUUCAACAAAUUUUUCUCUGGGAGAGUUAAAAUUGAAAGUGAAUUGUCAACGAGAUCAAGUCCCAGGAUGGUUUAAUUCGCAAAAGCGACCAACAUUCAAUAACAGACGGAUACACAGAACACCAAUGCUGCCAACUAUUUUAAAUUUUAACUUCAUUAAGAUCAUGUAUAAGAUAUCUUACAGUAUACGGAUAGAAAAACAUUUACAAAAAAG